GUGUGUUUAUUCCUACCUUCCCCUGGUGUCUUGUGUUUUCAGGUGUGGUGCCAUGGUGCUGGACGCUUUAAUUAAGAUUAAGAAUGAGAUGAAUCCAACGCUGAAGUUCCGCAGAUCAUGCAGAGAAGGUAAAGCUUUAAUAAUGAGCAUAUCCAGACUCUGUGAAUGAUAUCACACCACUUUUCUAAAUGGGACCUCUGUUACAGGUAUCUAUGGUUCCUGUG